CGGAACUGAGCCCAGCUCACGCUAUCCUGCACACGCUCUGUGCUUUUGCCAAGGGGGCAAUGGCGGCUUCCUGUGUCGUCCUGCACACUGGGCAGAAGAUGCCCCUGAUUGGUCUGGGUACCUGGAAGAGUGAGCCUGGCCAGGUAAAAGCCACUGUGAAGUAUGCCCUGAGUGUAGGCUACUGCCACAUUGACUGUGCUGCUAUCUACAGCAAUGAGACUGAAAUUGGGGAGGCCCUGAAGGAGGACGUGGGACCGGGCAAGGCAGUCCCUCGGGAGGAGCUGUUUGUGACAUCCAAGCUGUGGAACACCAAGCACCACCCUGAGGAUGUGGAGCCUGCCUUCCGGAAGACACUGGCUGACCUCCAGCUGGAGUAUCCUGACCUGUACCUGAUGCACUGGCCUUAUACCUUUGAGCGGGGAGACAACCCCUUCCCCAAGAAUGCCGAUGGGACCAUCCACUAUGACUCAACCGACUACAAGGAGACCUGGAAGGCUCUGGAGGCACUGGUGCCUAAGGGGCUGAUACGGGCACUGGGCCUGUCCAACUUCAACAGUAGGCAGAUUGACGACAUACUCAGUGUAGCCUCUGUGCGCCCAGCUGUCUUGCAGGUGGAAUGCCACUCAUACUUGGCUCAGAAUGAGCUAAUUGCCCACUGCCAAGCACGCAGCCUGGAGGUGACUGCUUACAGCCCUUUGGGCUCCCCUGAUCGUGCUUGGCGUGAUCCUGGUGAGCCUGUCCUGCUUGAGGAACCAGUGGUCCUGGCACUGGCUGAGAAGUAUGGCCGAUCUCCAGCUCAGAUCUUGCUCAGGUGGCAGGUCCAGCGGAGGGUGAUUUGCAUCCCCAAGAGUAUCACUCCCUCUUGUAUCCUUCAGAACAUCCAGGUGUUUGACUUUACCUUUAGCCCAGAAGAGAUGAAGCAGCUGGAUGCCCUGAACAAAGAUUGGCGAUAUAUUGUGCCCAUGCUUACGGUGGAUGGGAAGAGGGUCCCAAGGGAUGCAGGGCACCCUCUGUACCCUUUUAAUAACCCAUACUGAGACCACAGCUUCCUAGUUUCCCUUCCAGCUCUCCAGCGAUGAGGUCCUGCCACCCCAGAAAGAGGGAGUUAAUAAAGUCAUUGGAAUAUCAAAAAAAAAA